UCUACUUCACUCCAACCAUUUCAAAAUUCCCAUUUUCUUACGGUACACCCAUAUUUAAUCACUUCAUUUCUCUCUAUCUUCUCCUCUAUUUUUUCCUACUUCUUUCUUCAUCAUUCCUUCUUCUUCCUCAAUUUUUUUUUUCAUCCAAAGACUUGAUAUUUCUUACUAACAAGGUAACAUUUUUUUUACUCAUUACACCUUACUUCAAACUUCUUGGUCUUACUCACUCUAUUUUGUUUUUCCAAGAAGAGGAAGCCAUGGGAGUUUUAAGAAAGGAAAGAGAGAAAACUUUUUUGUUUGUUUUUUGGUUUUCCUGAAAAGAUCCCUUACAUGACUUGGUUUGGCAAACCUAGCAAGUCUUUAAAAGUGAUUAAAUAAAUGGAAAUGGAGAAAAGAGUGAAGGCUAAUCAAGUUGAAGUACAAGGAUGUUGUUGAUUUAAAGGAAAAGUGAUUAAGAAGAGGUCAAGAGGAUGAGGAGAUUUUCAAAUCCCUUUUCCUUUCCCUUUUAAAACCUUAUAAUAAAUUUAUCAUUAUGGAAUCUAAUAAUAUCCAUCACCUCCAACAAGAUGAACCUCCUCAUCUUAGGAACUUUUCUUUGACCUCAUCUUUAUAUGGAUCACUUGGUGGUGGUAGCCAUUCUUGGACCCCAAAUAUCAUUUUGUAAGUCUCUUAAUACACUUUACUAUACAUUAUCCAGUUUUUAUAUCAUGUGUAUGAGUUGAUUUUUUUACUUUACUAUUGCUAAUGUUUGUUUCCGCUUUCCCUGGGUUUCAAGUUUACAUUUUUUGUAAUUUUUUCAUAAAAAAAUUGUUUUUUCUACGGUUUAGGAGUUUGGAGUUUACAUUUAUAUAUUUUCUGGAAAAAAUACUGCAUUUCUCCUUCUUUGUGUUUCACUUUACAUUUUUUGCUAUUAUUUUUGUUUAAAA
rnacentral:lncRNA from 1 species